rnacentral:rRNA from 1 species
GUAGGUGGCAAGCGUUGUCCGGAAUUAUUGGGCGUAGAGCGCGCGCAGGUGGUUCUUUAAGUCUGAUGUGAAAGCCCCCGGCUCAACCGGGGAGGGUCAUUGGAAACUGGGGAACUUGAGUGCAGGAGAGGAAAGUGGAAUUCCACGUGUAGCGGUGAAAUGCGUAGAUAUGUGGAGGAACGCCAGUGGCGAAGGCGACUUUCUGGCCUGUAACUGACACUGAGGCGCGAAAGCGUGGGGAGCAAACAGGGAUUAGAUACCCUGGUAGUCCACGCCGUAAACGAUGAGUGCUAAGUGUUGGGGGGGUUUCCCGCCCCUCAGUGCUGCAGCUAACGCAUUAAGCACUCCGCCUGGGGAUACGGUCGCAAGACUG